AGAGUUUGAUCCUGGCUCAGGAUGAACGCUAGCGAUAGGCUUAACACAUGCAAGUCGAGGGGCAGCAUGGUCUUAGCUUGCUAAGACUGAUGGCGACCGGCGCACGGGUGCGUAACGCGUAUGCAACUUGCCUCACAGAGGGGGAUAACCCGUCGAAAGACGGACUAAUACCGCGUACACUUGGGAUAGGGCAUCCUACCCCAAGGAAAUGAAAUUCGCUGUGAGAUAGGCAUGCGUCCCAUUAGCUAGUUGGUGAGGUAACGGCUCACCAAGGCGACGAUGGGUAGGGGAACUGAGAGGUUGAACCCCCACACUGGUACUGAGACACGGACCAGACUCCUACGGGAGGCAGCAGUGAGGAAUAUUGGUCAAUGGGCGAGAGCCUGAACCAGCCAAGUCGCGUGAAGGAUGACUGUCUUAUGGAUUGUAAACUUCUUUUAUACGGGAAUAACAAGAGUCACGUGUGGCUCCCUGCAUGUACCGUAUGAAUAAGCAUCGGCUAACUCCGUGCCAGCAGCCGCGGUAAUACGGAGGAUGCGAGCGUUAUCCGGAUUUAUUGGGUUUAAAGGGUGCGUAGGCGGCCUGUUAAGUCAGCGGUGAAAUCUAGGAGCUUAACUCCUAAAUUGCCAUUGAUACUGGCGGGCUUGAGUGUAGAUGAGGUAGGCGGAAUGCGUGGUGUAGCGGUGGAAUGCAUAGAUAUCACGCAGAACUCCGAUUGCGAAGGCAGCUUACUAAGGUACAACUGACGCUGAAGCACGAAAGCGUGGGUAUCAAACAGGAUUAGAUACCCUGGUAGUCCACGCAGUAAACGAUGAUAACUGGGCGUAUGCGAUAUACAGUAUGCUCCUAAGCGAAAGCGUUAAGUUAUCCACCUGGGGAGUACGCCGGCAACGGUGAAACUCAAAGGAAUUGACGGGGGCCCG
rnacentral:rRNA from 1 species